UGGGGAAUAUUGCACAAUGGGCGCAAGCCUGAUGCAGCCAUGCCGCGUGUAUGAAGAAGGCCUUCGGGUUGUAAAGUACUUUCAGCGGGGAGGAAGGGAGUAAAGUUAAUACCUUUGCUCAUUGACGUUACCCGCAGAAGAAGCACCGGCUAACUCCGUGCCAGCAGCCGCGGUAAUACGGAGGGUGCAAGCGUUAAUCGGAAUUACUGGGCGUAAAGCGCACGCAGGCGGUUUGUUAAGUCAGAUGUGAAAUCCCCGGGCUCAACCUGGGAACUGCAUCUGAUACUGGCAAGCUUGAGUCUCGUAGAGGGGGGUAGAAUUCCAGGUGUAGUGGUGAAAUGCGUAGAGAUCUGGAGGAAUACCGGUGGCGAAGGCGGCCCCCUGGACGAAGACUGACGCUCAGGUGCGAAAGCGUGGGGAGCAAACAGG
rnacentral:rRNA from 1 species